UGAGCGGAUGAACUGAGGGUAGCGGAGAAAUUCCAAUCGAACCUGGAGAUAGCUGGUUCUCUCCGAAAUAGCUUUAGGGCUAGCCUCAAGUGAUGAUUAUUGGAGGUAGAGCACUGUUUGGACGAGGGGCCCCUCUCGGGUUACCGAAUUCAGACAAACUCCGAAUGCCAAUUAAUUUAACUUGGGAGUCAGAACAUGGGUGAUAAGGUCCGUGUUCGAAAGGGAAACAGCCCAGACCACCAGCUAAGGUCCCAAAAUAUAUGUUAAGUGGAAAAGGAUGUGGCGUUGCCCAGACAACUAGGAUGUUGGCUUAGAAGCAGCCAUCAUUUAAAGAGUGCGUAAUAGCUCACUAGUCGAGUGACACUGCGCCGAAAAUGUACCGGGGCUAAACAUAUUACCGAAGCUGUGGAUUGUCCUUUGGACAAUGGUAGGAGAGCGUUCUAAGGGCGUUGAAGCAUGAUCGUAAGGACAUGUGGAGCGCUUAGAAGUGAGAAUGCCGGUGUGAGUAGCGAAAGACGGGUGAGAAUCCCGUCCACCGAUUGACUAAGGUUUCCAGAGGAAGGCUCGUCCGCUCUGGGUUAGUCGGGUCCUAAGCUGAGGCCGACAGGCGUAGGCGAUGGAUAACAGGUUGAUAUUCCUGUACCACCUAUAAUCGUUUUA
rnacentral:rRNA from 1 species